rnacentral:rRNA from 1 species
UGGGGAAUCUUCCGCAAUGGACGAAAGUCUGACGGAGCAACGCCGCGUGAGUGAUGAAGGUCUUCGGAUUGUAAGGCUCUGUUAAUCGGGACGAAAGAGCCUAGUGUGAAUAAUGCUAGGAAGUGACGGUACCGGAAUAGAAAGCCACGGUUAACUACGUG